UACAGAGGUCCCGAGCGUUGUUCGGAUUCACUGGGCGUAAAGGGUGCGUAGGUGGUGAGGUAAGUCGGAUGUGAAAUCCCCGGGCUCAACCUGGGAAUGGCGAUGGUGACUGCAAGGCUAGAGUUUGGCAGAGGGGGGUAGAAUUCCACGUGUAGCAGUGAAAUGCGUAGAUAUGUGGAGGAACACCGAUGGCGAAGGCAGCCCCCUGGGUCAAAACUGACGCUCAUGCACGAAAGCGUGGGGAGCAAACAGG
rnacentral:rRNA from 1 species